rnacentral:rRNA from 1 species
GACGAACGCUGGCGGCGUGCUUAACACAUGCAAGUCGAACGGAAAGGCCCUUCGGGGUACUCGAGUGGCGAACGGGUGAGUAACACGUGGGUGAUCUGCCCUGCACUUUGGGAUAAGCCUGGGAAACUGGGUCUAAUACCGAAUAGGACCACGCGCUUCAUGGUGUGUGGUGGAAAGCGUUUGCGGUGUGGGAUGGGCCCGCGGCCUAUCAGCUUGUUGGUGGGGUAAUGGCCUACCAAGGCGACGACGGGUAGCCGGCCUGAGAGGGGGACCGGCCACACUGGGACUGAGAUACGGCCCAGACUCCUACGGGAGGCAGCAGGGGGGAAUAUUGCACAAUGGGCGCAAGCCUGAUGCAGCGACGCCGCGUGAGGGAUGACGGCCUUCGGGUUGUAAACAUCUUUCAAUAGGGACGAAGCGCAAGUGACGGUACCUAUAGAAGAAGCCCCGGCCAACUACGUG